rnacentral:rRNA from 1 species
UGCAAGUCGAACGAACUCUGGUAUUGAUUGGUGCUUGCAUCAUGAUUUACAUUUGAGUGAGUGGCGAACUGGUGAGUAACACGUGGGAAACCUGCCCAGAAGCGGGGGAUAACACCUGGAAACAGAUGCUAAUACCGCAUAACAGCUUGGACCGCAUGGUCCGAGUUUGAAAGAUGGCUUCGGCUAUCACUUUUGGAUGGUCCCGCGGCGUAUUAGCUAGAUGGUGGGGUAACGGCUCACCAUGGCAAUGAUACGUAGCCGACCUGAGAGGGUAAUCGGCCACAUUGGGACUGAGACACGGCCCAAACUCCUACGGGAGGCAGCAGUAGGGAAUCUUCCACAAUGGACGAAAGUCUGAUGGAGCAACGCCGCGUGAGUGAAGAAGGGUUUCGGCUCGUAAAACUCUGUUGUUAAAGAAGAACAUAUCUGAGAGUAACUGUUCAGGUAUUGACGGUAUUUAACCAGAAAGCCACGGCUAACUACGUGCCAGCAGCCGCGGUAAUACGUAGGUGGCAAGCGUUGUCCGGAUUUAUUGGGCGUAAAGCGAGCGCAGGCGGUUUUUUAAGUCUGAUGUGAAAGCCUUCGGCUCAACCGAAGAAGUGCAUCGGAAACUGGGAAACUUGAGUGCAGAAGAGGACAGUGGAACUCCAUGUGUAGCGGUGAAAUGCGUAGAUAUAUGGAAGAACACCAGUGGCGAAGGCGGCUGUCUGGUCUGUAACUGACGCUGAGGCUCGAAAGUAUGGGUAGCAAACAGGAUUAGAUACCCUGGUAGUCCAUACCGUAAACGAUGAAUGCUAAGUGUUGGAGGGUUUCCGCCCUUCAGUGCUGCAGCUAACGCAUUAAGCAUUCCGCCUGGGGAGUACGGCCGCAAGGCUGAAACUCAAAGGAAUUGACGGGGGCCCGCACAAGCGGUGGAGCAUGUGGUUUAAUUCGAAGCUACGCGAAGAACCUUACCAGGUCUUGACAUACUAUGCAAAUCUAAGAGAUUAGACGUUCCCUUCGGGGACAUGGAUACAGGUGGUGCAUGGUUGUCGUCAGCUCGUGUCGUGAGAUGUUGGGUUAAGUCCCGCAACGAGCGCAACCCUUAUUAUCAGUUGCCAGCAUUAAGUUGGGCACUCUGGUGAGACUGCCGGUGACAAACCGGAGGAAGGUGGGGAUGACGUCAAAUCAUCAUGCCCCUUAUGACCUGGGCUACACACGUGCUACAAUGGAUGGUACAACGAGUUGCGAACUCGCGAGAGUAAGCUAAUCUCUUAAAGCCAUUCUCAGUUCGGAUUGUAGGCUGCAACUCGCCUACAUGAAGUCGGAAUCGCUAGUAAUCGCGGAUCAGCAUGCCGCGGUGAAUACGUUCCCGGGCCUUGUACACACCGCCCGUCACACCAUGAGAGUUUGUAACACCCAAAGUCGGUGGGGUAACCUUUUAGGAACCAGCCGCCU